GUGCUCAUGGUGUAGUGAUUAUCACAAUCAUCUGUCUAACACACAGAAGGUCCCAGGUUCGAGCCCUGGUGAGCACA